UACGAAGGGGGCUAGCGUUGCUCGGAUUGACUGGGCGUAAAGGGCGCGUAGGCGGCUUGUACAGUCAGACGUGAAAUUCCUGGGCUCAACCUGGGGGCUGCGUUUGAUACGUAUGGGCUUAAGUUCGGAAGAGGGUCGUGGAAUUCCCAGUGUAGAGGUGAAAUUCGUAGAUAUCUGGAGGAACACCGGUGGCGAAGGCGGCAUCCUGGACCAACACUGACGCUGAGUGAGCGAAAGCCAGGGGAGCAAACAGG
rnacentral:rRNA from 1 species